rnacentral:rRNA from 1 species
AAUGAACGUUGGCGGCGUGGAUUAGGCAUGCAAGUCGAGCGGGUGUAGCAAUACACCAGCGGCGAAAGGGAGAGUAAUACGUGGAUACCUACCCUCGGAUUCGGGAUAGCCUCGGGAAACUGAGGGUAAUACCAGAUAACGUCUCCGGACCAAAGGUGUGAUUCCGUCCGGGGAGGGGUCCGCGUCCUAUUAGCUAGUUGGUGAGGUAACGGCUCACCAAGGCGAAGAUGGGUACGAGGCGUGAGAGCGUGUCCUCGCUCACUGGGACUGAGACACUGCCCAGACACCUACGGGUGGCUGCAGUCGAGAAUCUUCGGCAAUGGGCGCAAGCCUGACCGAGCGACGCCGCGUGCGGGAUGAAGGCCUUCGGGUUGUAAACCGCUGUCAGUAGGGAGGAAAGGUUUAGGGGUUCUCCCCUAGGUUUGACCUAUCUGCAGAGGAAGGACGGGCUAAGUUCGUGCCAGCAGCCGCAGUAAGAC